GGGGACGUUUUGGAUUUGACAGGAUGUUCGGUGAAAACAGGUUGCGAGUCCGUGCGCUGUUCACGGUUAUCAACGAGCAAAAACCUAAAUGCUAAAAAUGAAACUAGCAACAUCGUAAGACCUGAAAUCGCUCUUUGGGGCACUGCUCCAGCUGCGAAAGUAGCGUAACGAUGCACUCUGAUUGCCCAGCUUGCCGGCGGUCAGGGUCAAUUAUGCAAGCCGCAGCGCGCCGAUGAGGGUAAGCGCGUCAAGAUAACCCUUAAAGGUUUCGCACUUCCGGCAAAAGUGCUUUGAUUAAGCCAACGGUCGUGGUAUUUUCCGGGCUUAAUCGAGAAAAUAACUACCUACACUCGUAGAGAUUUGUUUUAAUCCUUUCUGGACGCGGGUUCGAAACCCGCCGUCUCCAAUA
rnacentral:tmRNA from 1 species